rnacentral:rRNA from 1 species
GGGUUGUGAGGUUAAGCGACCAAGCGUACACGGUGGAUGCCCUGGCAGUCAGAGGCGAUGAAGGACGUGCUAAUCUGCGAAAAGCGCCGGUAAGGUGAUAUGAACCGUUAUAACCGGCGAUGUCCGAAUGGGGAAACCCAGUGUGACUCGUCACACUAUCAUUAACUGAAUCCAUAGGUUAAUGAGGCGAACCGGGGGAACUGAAACAUCUAAGUACCCCGAGGAAAAGAAAUCAACCGAGAUUCCCCCAGUAGCGGCGAGCGAACGGGGAGGAGCCCAGAGCCUGAAUCAGCAUGUGUGUUAGUGGAAGCGUCUGGAAAGGCGCGCGAUACAGGGUGAGAGCCCCGUACACAAAAGCGCAUAUGCUGUGAGCUCGAUGAGUAGGGCGGGACACGUGGUAUCCUGUCUGAAUAUGGGGGGACCAUCCUCCAAGGCUAAAUACUCCUGACUGACCGAUAGUGAACCAGUACCGUGAGGGAAAGGCGAAAAGAACCCCGGCGAGGGGAGUGAAACAGAACCUGAAACCGUGUACGUACAAGCAGUGGGAGCCUCUCUUUAUGGGGGGUGACUGCGUACCUUUUGUAUAAUGGGUCAGCGACUUAUAUUCUGUAGCAAGGUUAACCGCAUAGGGGAGCCGAAGGGAAACCGAGUCUUAAUUGGGCGUUAAGUUGCAGGGUAUAGACCCGAAACCCGGUGAUCUAGCCAUGGGCAGGUUGAAGGUUGGGUAACACUAACUGGAGGACCGAACCGACUAAUGUUGAAAAAUUAGCGGAUGACCUGUGGCUGGGGGUGAAAGGCCAAUCAAACCGGGAGAUAGCUGGUUCUCCCCGAAAGCUAUUUAGGUAGCGCCUCGUGAACUCAUCUCCGGGGGUAGAGCACUGUUUCGGCUAGGGGGCCAUCCCGGCUUACCAACCCGAUGCAAACUGCGAAUACCGGAGAAUGUUAUCACGGGAGACACACGGCGGGUGCUAACGUCCGUCGUGAAGAGGGAAACAACCCAGACCGCCAGCUAAGGUCCCAAAGUCAUGGUUAAGUGGGAAACGAUGUGGGAAGGCCCAGACAGCCAGGAUGUUGGCUUAGAAGCAGCCAUCAUUUAAAGAAAGCGUAAUAGCUCACUGGUCGAGUCGGCCUGCGCGGAAGAUGUAACGGGGCUAAACCAUGCACCGAAGCUGCGGCAGCGACACUUUAGUGUUGUUGGGUAGGGGAGCGUUCUGUAAGCCGUUGAAGGUGUCCUGUGAGGGUGCUGGAGGUAUCAGAAGUGCGAAUGCUGACAUAAGUAACGAUAAAGCGGGUGAAAAGCCCGCUCGCCGGAAGACCAAGGGUUCCUGUCCAACGUUAAUCGGGGCAGGGUGAGUCGACCCCUAAGGCGAGGCCGAAAGGCGUAGUCGAUGGGAAACGGGUUAAUAUUCCCGUACUUGGUGUUACUGCGAAGGGGGGACGGAGAAGGCUAUGUUGGCCGGGCGACGGUAGUCCCGGUUUAAGCGUGUAGGCUGGUUUUCCAGGCAAAUCCGGAAAAUCAAGGCUGAGGCGUGAUGACGAGGCACCACGGUGCUGAAGCAACAAAUGCCCUGCUUCCAGGAAAAGCCUCUAAGCAUCAGGUAACAUCAAAUCGUACCCCAAACCGACACAGGUGGUCAGGUAGAGAAUACCAAGGCGCUUGAGAGAACUCGGGUGAAGGAACUAGGCAAAAUGGUGCCGUAACUUCGGGAGAAGGCACGCUGACACGUAGGUGAAGUGAUUUACUCAUGGAGCUGAAGUCAGUCGAAGAUACCAGCUGGCUGCAACUGUUUAUUAAAAACACAGCACUGUGCAAACACGAAAGUGGACGUAUACGGUGUGACGCCUGCCCGGUGCCGGAAGGUUAAUUGAUGGGGUCAGCGCAAGCGAAGCUCCUGAUCGAAGCCCCGGUAAACGGCGGCCGUAACUAUAACGGUCCUAAGGUAGCGAAAUUCCUUGUCGGGUAAGUUCCGACCUGCACGAAUGGCGUAAUGAUGGCCAGGCUGUCUCCACCCGAGACUCAGUGAAAUUGAACUCGCUGUGAAGAUGCAGUGUACCCGCGGCAAGACGGAAAGACCCCGUGAACCUUUACUAUAGCUUGACACUGAACAUUGAGCCUUGAUGUGUAGGAUAGGUGGGAGGCUUUGAAGCGUGGACGCCAGUCUGCGUGGAGCCGACCUUGAAAUACCACCCUUUAAUGUUUGAUGUUCUAACGUGGACCCGUAAUCCGGGUUGCGGACAGUGUCUGGUGGGUAGUUUGACUGGGGCGGUCUCCUCCUAAAGAGUAACGGAGGAGCACGAAGGUUGGCUAAUCCUGGUCGGACAUCAGGAGGUUAGUGCAAUGGCAUAAGCCAGCUUGACUGCGAGCGUGACGGCGCGAGCAGGUGCGAAAGCAGGUCAUAGUGAUCCGGUGGUUCUGAAUGGAAGGGCCAUCGCUCAACGGAUAAAAGGUACUCCGGGGAUAACAGGCUGAUACCGCCCAAGAGUUCAUAUCGACGGCGGUGUUUGGCACCUCGAUGUCGGCUCAUCACAUCCUGGGGCUGAAGUAGGUCCCAAGGGUAUGGCUGUUCGCCAUUUAAAGUGGUACGCGAGCUGGGUUUAGAACGUCGUGAGACAGUUCGGUCCCUAUCUGCCGUGGGCGCUGGAGAAUUGAGGGGGGCUGCUCCUAGUACGAGAGGACCGGAGUGGACGCAUCACUGGUGUUCGGGUUGUCAUGCCAAUGGCACUGCCCGGUAGCUAAAUGCGGAAAAGAUAAGUGCUGAAAGCAUCUAAGCACGAAACUUGCCCCGAGAUGAGUUCUCCCUGAGACUUUGAGUCUCCUGAAGGAACGUUAAAGACGAUGACGUUGAUAGGCCGGGUGUGUAAGCGCAGCGAUGCGUUGAGCUAACCGGUACUAAUGAACCGUGAGGCUUAACCUUACAACGCCGAAGCUGUU